AACUGUAUCGGUAUGCUACAAAUUAACAUUUAUUUUCAUUUUUUGUCCUUUAAAUUGAACUUUAAAAAGGAAAUUCCCAUCAUUCACACAUUGAUUUAAAAGGCUAUAGUUUGUAUUGUCAUUGGCAUGGAAUUUAAUUUUAGUUUUAAUCUAUGCAAUGUAAAAAUAGUGGCUUUUGGAUUUCACCAUUUAGGCAAAUUCUGUUUAUAAUCAUCCUGUCAGCAGUAUAUUACUCAUUUGGUUUAAUGUCUUGGUCCAAUAAUGGCAUGAGAUAUUUAAAUGAAAUGUUAAGAGAGAGAGAGAGAGAGA
rnacentral:misc_RNA from 1 species